CCUACGGGAGGCAGCAGUGAGGAAUAUUGGUCAAUGGACGAGAGUCUGAACCAGCCAAGUAGCGUGCAGGAUGACUGCCCUAUGGGUUGUAAACUGCUUUUAUACAGGAAUAAAACGAGUCACGUGUGCGGCUUUGCAUGUACUUUAUGAAUAAGGAUCGGCUAACUCCGUGCCAGCAGCCGCGGUAAUACGGAGGGUCCGAGCGUUAUCCGGAUUUAUUGGGUUUAAAGCGUGCGUAGAUGGGUUGGUAAGUCUGUUGUUAAAGCUUGCGGCUCAACUGUAAAAUUGCAAUUGAUACUAGCAGUCUAGAGUACAGUUGAGGUAGACGGAAUUCGUGGUGUAGCGGUGAAAUGCGUAGAUAUCACGAAGAACAUCGAUUGCGAAGGCACUUUACUAAACUGUGACUGACAUUGAUGCUCGAAAGUGUGGGUAUCAAACAGGAUUAGAUACCCCGGUAGUC
rnacentral:rRNA from 1 species